UACGUAGGGUGCGAGCGUUGUCCGGAAUUAUUGGGCGUAAAGAGCUCGUAGGCGGCGUGUCGCGUCGGCCGUGAAAACCUGCAGCUUAACUGUGGGCUUGCGGUCGAUACGGGCAUCACUGGAGUUCGGCAGGGGAGACUGGAAUUCCUGGUGUAGAGGUGAAAUGCGCAGAUAUCAGGAGGAACACCGGUGGCGAAGGCGGGUCUCUGGGCCGAUACUGACGCUGAGGAGCGAAAGCGUGGGGAGCAAACAGG
rnacentral:rRNA from 1 species